AUGAGUAUUAUAAGUUGGAACUGCCGAGGGGCGGGGAGCUCUCGGAUAGUUCGCGACCUUGUGAGCUUGGCACAAGCUCAUUCCCCUUGUAUCGUUUUCCUUUGUGAAACUAGGCAGUCGAAGGAUAGGAUGAAGAGAUACCGCUCUCGUUUAGGUUUACAUGGUUUUGAAGCUGUCGAUAGUGAUGGUUUUAGUGGUGGUCUAGCUCUUUUUUGGCAUGAAUCUGUGCAACUCGAUGUAAAAGAUUUGAAUAAACGAUAUAUUGAUGCGUAUGUGACGACGGCGGUGGGGGAGCCCCCUUGGAGGCUCACCUGCGUCUACGGCGAGCCGCGAACGGAGGACCGUCACCACAUGUGGUCGCUCCUUCGUGAUCUUCAUCACCAGGUGGAUAUGCCUUGGGUGGUGAUUGGCGACUUCAACGAGGCCAUGUGGGGCUUCGAGCACUUCUCCGACACCCUGCGCUCAGCAGGUCAGAUGAUCGAUUUCAGGGAUGUUUUGAAAUUAUGUGGACUUGGAGACCUUGGUUUUGCAGGGCUGCCGUAUACAUUUAAUAACCGGCGGCCCGGACGUGCGAACGUCAAGGUGCGGCUGGACCGUGCGGUGGCGAACAAUGCAUGGCGUGAUUUAUUCAUGGAGGCGGCGGUGCGGCACUUGGUGGCCCCAUCGUCUGAUCACAUAUACCCAUUCUCCUAA
rnacentral:rRNA from 1 species